CCUCCGUCCCACGCCUCCGACCUCCUCUCCCGCGCGUGCGUGCAGCGCCCGGGCUCCGCGGCGGACGUGGAGGAGCCGGCGGCGGGCUGCGGGGACCCGGGGCCGCGGGGGCGCCUGUCAGCCGAUGCGCGCUGAUCCUGCUGUCCGGGGAAAGCAAGACGGGGGUGCAGCUUGGGCGGAACGUAAACCGCUGGGUGGGCAGGGGCUGACCUGCCGAGCGCGGAGUGGGUCUCUAACACCCGGCGGGCGCCACACGUGUGCUUAGGGCAGCCCCGCCCGGGCGCCGAGCGCUGCUGAGCGCCAGCGCUUUGCGGGAGCGGGAGCGGGAGCGGUUGCACGCUGAGCCUCAGCGGAGCCGGACGAGGUAGGUCCCGUCGUCGCUCCCGGUCUGGGCGGACAGACUCGGCGGGACUCGCCCCCCCCCCCAGGCGCAGGUGGGAAGGAGCACGUGCAGGAGCGCGCAGCUGUCGGACCCGAGCCGGAGCGCCGGCCCGCGUGCGUCGGCUGUGCGGGGCCGGCUGAGCACACGCGGGAGGCGUGGCGCCCUAACCCCGGCUCCGGGCCGCCCGCUGCCGUCCGCGCCGUCCGGUCCCGCUCGUCCUGGAACGGCUCCGUCUUGGGGAGCUGAACGGGCGCUCCUGGGCCGUCACUUGGUGUGAGGACGAUGACGACGACGACGAUGAUGAUUUUCCCCUUAAAGGGUGGGGAGGGACCUGAAACUGGCAAAGACGGGUUUCCGUGGUGCAAACCCGUUGGUUAAAGCCCCCGGAGCUGGACACCCGGCCCCGCGGCUCUCGGGCUGGGCCCCGAGCGAACGAACGCCCUGCGGACGCUCAGCACAGCCCUGUUAGGAAGACUCUACUGUCACUUUACACUUGAGGACACCCGAGGCUCAGAUUGAGAAAUUUGCCCCUGAAUCUUCACGAGCACCAAGUACAAGCACAACAAGCACGAGACCUAGGCAAAUCUGUGCUCCCCGUUAAAAAAAAAAAAACCUGGGAGCUAGGAUAGGGCAAUCAGGGAUGACAAGGUGGUAUUUUAGCAAAGUUUCCUUUAAAAAAAACCUCUUUUCAUUAUUCAUGGGGUUGGGAGAGUUAGCCCCUCCGCCACCAGGCUGGUUAAAAUGAAAAUGAAAACAAAACCGCUGCCAUUGAUUGUGAAUUACCACGUUUUAAGAUUAUUUUUUGACUGGUUACUUUUUUUUUUUAUCUCUCUCUCUCUCUCUCCCUGAUCCCAAGUUAUAAUGAAUUUUCCAAAGAAUCUUAACAGUUUAAACUCUGGGGGGCAUUGUCACUCCCCCGCCUCCCCGGUUUUUGUUGCAAAACAACUUGUGAUGGACCAUCACUGCCGGAGCAUACAAAAAUAUACAUCGUCGCGAGGGUUAAAGGAGACGGUGGAUAUUGAAAGUGCCUGACGAAAUGGGAGAAGGCUUGCGUGAUUGGCAUUAUUGAGUUGCAAUUAGAAAAGAAACUAUUUUAAUAACCUGAGGUCAUCGAGAAAUGACACUGCAGAGUGAUUGGAAUCAGAAAAUUGAACAGUGUUGCAGGUACUGAAUGAUGUAAACAUGCUGAUAGCCACAAAAGUGAUAAUUGACUCCACUACAAGAAAUGUUAAACUCUUUCAGAUGGAAGGGAAAUGAUAUCAGAUAGAAAUAGAGACCUACACAAAGGAAUGAUGAACACUGGAAAAGGUAAUCAGAUGGGUAAAUGUAUUUCCACAAGAAAAGACAGCAUAUAUUCCUACAGAGAUCUGAACAUGAAUAUUCAUUAUUUUUAAGUCUCCAAUGUGAAACAACCCAAAUGUCCACCAACAGAUAAAUGGAUAAAUUGUGAUAUAUUCAUAUAAUGGAAUACUAUUCAGCAAUAAAAGUGUAGCUCUGUCUGCUGAAACUAAGAAAUUGAACAUGCGACCUUGGAGGAUCUUUUCAGGCUAAUACUAAACCCAGUAACUUAUCUACACACUUGAUGUCCCUAUGAUGCACAGCUCCAUUGGGCACUAUUUACAUUGUAAUGUAUGUAAAUGGCAUUUCCUGAAGCAGGAUUAAGAAGCUCCAGACUAUAUCUUCCAGGAAGACAGGCCUAUAUCUUUUUUCAGUUGACUCCAGCACCUAACAAGUGUUUGACACAUAAAAGAUGUUCAAUUAGUAUUUGGAUUGGUUCCUGGAAGUGGAACUACUGUAUCAAAGAUUUGGACAUUUUUAAGACCCAAGAAAGGUAAUAUAGUAAUAAACGUGAUUGUAAAUUUGAACACCUUCUUAGCAACACUAGUUACUAACACUUAUCUUCAAUCUUUGUCAAUCUGAUGGGGAGACUCCGUGUGUAAUUGAAUUUGAUAAAAUUGCAUUUUUGCUCAUAUACUCACAUUAAUAACUUUACUGCCCCAAAGAUCUAAUAUUCUUUGUCUUCUCUGUGCUCAGCCGGUGAGAAAUGUAUUUUUUAUUGACUUUGGCAAUAUUUCUUUUAAAAUAAAUUAUAUUUUGAACACAUGCAAAGGUGAAGAAAAAUAGUAUAAGGAAGGAUCCAAAUUAUUUUACUUAGUAAAAAAAAAGGUGAGAUUGUAUUUAAUUCUUAAUGUAGUGGUAAAUACAGCAUUAUUACUAUAAGCUAGCAGUAUCCUAUUUUACUUAUUGAAUUUAUUUCUUUAUUGAAAUCAUAUUGGAUUUAUUGCUUAAUGUGCCAUUUUCACUAUAGCACUUUCCAAAAUGCUUCCUAAAUGCUUAGUUUAUAGUCAAGAAAAACAUUUACUAGAUAACUACUUUGAAAUAACUACCUCAACCUUGCUUUCAUUCUCAAUGCCUUAGAAACAGACUUGCUUGCCUACAUUAAUUUUCUUUCAUGUUAUCAUUACUAUGAAGUCAUUCUAUAGAUAGGGUAAUAAGCAUCCUGGCAUGCAGGGAAAUAGCAUCUGUAAAACUAUAUGGCGCAGUAUGGUUGGGGUUCUUCCUCCCUCAGAACCUCAUUACGUAAUUUAAAAAUGUUUACUUAAGCUCCUUUGGGCUGCCUCCAUGGUAGCUAUGAAGUCACAGAAUUAGGAACAGUUUGGGGCCUGAUAACAAAGUCUAUUAGUUUAAUUUGAAUGCUGUGUCAGUUUCUUUUUUAUCAUUGCUGUAUAAGAACGUUUAAAAACAAAGACAUAUUUUAUUCAUUUUACUUUUUAAAACAUGUAUGCUUCUUCAAAAAUCUAAAUACACAGAGGGGUUCAUAAAUAUAUGUUUGCUCAUUAUCUAGAUGUGCUUAUUUUAAAAUUUGUAUUCCAUACUAUAUAUUCCCACAAUGUGAUUCUGACUCAAUAGAACUAUAAAUAAUUAUGCAGAAUGACCAAAACAUGUAGAGGUGUUAGCCUUCAGGAGAGCAUGAAUUAUUAAAAUUCUAUUUCUAAGCCAAGAAAGCACUAUUUAUUUCUAAGUCGUAAAUGAAAUCUUUCUAAGAGAACAUCAAAGAUGUAUAAAUUAUAAUAUCAGCUUUAGGAGAAUUUAAAAAUAUACUAGGUUAUAAGAAAAGAUUAUUUUAUUUUGUUUACUCAAAGAAAGGUAGUAUUUUCACUUCCUUAGAGAACUCUUGAGCCUCUUUACCAAGCAAAUAAUUAUGUGUACUGGUUUUAAAGAAAAAUAAUGCACUGUGCCUUGUAAACAUGGAAGAAGAGUCAUUUAAAUGUUGCAUAAAAUCAUCAAAUGGUUUAUCACCUUCAAGGCAACAUGCAGAUUCUUAUAAGAUACCUAAAAUCUCAACCAUCCCUUUUAGAACUACUGAGUUUUAUGAGUAAACAAGCCUAAGUCAAGAUCCUGAUACCUAAAAACAUAGCCCUUUUAAAGAAAUGUCAUCUUGUUUUAAUUAUGUAACAUGAAUUUGUUAUAAAAUUCUUUAUUGGGAUACUCUCUAUAGCAUUUUGCUUGUUAACCCUGAGAAGUAAAGACAUGUCACUGAUGGCCUUCCCAAUGAUCUAGUGAGGUACAAAGUCAGGGAUAAUUCAAGGAAGGAACAGCAAAAACUUUUAGGACCUGAUCAUCACUUUGGAAGUA